UAGUGGGUGAUAGUCCUGUACACGAAAGGGCUUAUAUGAUGAUGUCGAGUAGGGCGGGGCACGUGAAACCUUGUCUGAAUAUGGGGGGACCAUCCUCCAAGGCUAAAUACUCCUGACUGACCGAUAGUGAACCAGUACCGUGAGGGAAAGGCGAAAAGAACCCCUGUGAGGGGAGUGAAAUAGAUCCUGAAACCGUAUGCGUACAAGCAGUCGGAGCGGACUUGUUCCGUGACGGCGUACCUUUUGUAUAAUGGGUCAACGACUUAGUGUAACUAGCAAGCUUAA
rnacentral:rRNA from 14 species